UACGGGGGGGGCAAGCGUUGUUCGGAAUUACUGGGCGUAAAGGGCUCGUAGGCGGCCAACUAAGUCGGACGUGAAAUCCCUCGGCUUAACCGGGGAACUGCGUCCGAUACUGGAUGGCUCGAGUUUGGGAGAGGGAUGCGGAAUUCCAGGUGUAGCGGUGAAAUGCGUAGAUAUCUGGAGGAACACCGGUGGCGAAGGCGGCAUCCUGGACCAACACUGACACUGAAAAGCGAAAGCCAGGGGAGCAAACGGG
rnacentral:rRNA from 1 species